rnacentral:rRNA from 1 species
GACGAACGCUGGCGGCGUGCUUAACACAUGCAAGUCGAACGGAAAGGCCCUGCUUUUGUGGGGUGCUCGAGUGGCGAACGGGUGAGUAACACGUGAGUAACCUGCCCUUGACUUUGGGAUAACUUCAGGAAACUGGGGCUAAUACCGGAUAGGAGCUCCUGCUGCAUGGUGGGGGUUGGAAAGUUUCGGCGGUUGGGGAUGGACUCGCGGCUUAUCAGCUUGUUGGUGGGGUAGUGGCUUACCAAGGCUUUGACGGGUAGCCGGCCUGAGAGGGUGACCGGCCACAUUAGGACUGAGAUACGGCCCAGACUCCUACGGGAGGCAGCAGUGGGGAGUAUUGCACAGUGGGCGGAAGCCUGAUGCAGCAACGCCGCGUGCGGGAUGACGGCCUUCGGGUUGUAAACCGCUUUCGCCUGUGACGAAGAGUGAGUGACGGUAAUGGGUAAAGAAGCACCGGCUAACUACGUG